rnacentral:rRNA from 1 species
AGUGAACGCUGGCGGCGUGCUUAGCACAUGCAAGUCGAACGAGAACGGAAUAUAGCUUGCUAUAUUUGUCAGCUAAGUGGCGCACGGGUGAGUAAUGUAUAGAUAACCUGCCCUUAAGAAAGGAAUAACAGUUGGAAACGACUGCUAAUGCCCUAUAUGCCUUUAAUACAUAAGUAUGCAAGGGAAACGCUUUAGUGCUAGAGGAUGGGUCUGUAUGGUAUCAGCUUGUUGGUGAGGUAAUGGCUCACCAAGGCUAUGACGCCUAACUGGUUUGAGAGGAUGAUCAGGCACACUGGAACUGAGACACGGUCCAGACUCCUACGGGAGGCAGCAGUGGGGAAUAUUGCACAAUGGACGAAAGUCUGAUGCAGCAACGCCGCGUGGAGGAUGACACAUUUCGGUGCGUAAACUCCUUUUAUAUAGGAAGAUAAUGACGGUACUAUAUGAAUAAGCACCGGCUAACUCCGUGCCAGCCGCCGCCGUAAUAC